rnacentral:rRNA from 1 species
UGGGGAAUUUUGGACAAUGGGCGCAAGCCUGAUCCAGCCAUGCCGCGUGUCUGAAGAAGGCCUUCGGGUUGUAAAGGACUUUUGUCGGGGAAGAAAAGGUCGGGGUUAAUACCCCCGGCUGAUGACGGUACCCGAAGAAUGAGCACCGGCUAACUACGUGCCAGCAGCCGCGGUAAUACGUAGGGUGCGAGCGUUAAUCGGAAUUACUGGGCGUAAAGCGGGCGCAGACGGUUACUUAAGCAGGAUGUGAAAUCCCCGGGCUCAACCCGGGAAUUGCGUUCUGAACUGGGUGGCUAGAGUGUGUCAGAGGGAGGUAGAAUUCCACGUGUAGCAGUGAAAUGCGUAGAGAUGUGGAGGAAUACCGAUGGCGAAGGCAGCCUCCUGGGAUAACACUGACGUUCAUGCCCGAAAGCGUGGGUAGCAAACAGGAUUAGAUACCCUGGUAGUCCACGCCCUAAACGAUGUCGAUUAGCUGUUGGGCAGCCUGACUGCUUGGUAGCGAAGCUAACGCGUGAAAUCGACCGCCUGGGGAGUACGGUCGCAAGAUUA